rnacentral:rRNA from 1 species
UACGUAGGGGGCUAGCGUUGUCCGGAAUCAUUGGGCGUAAAGCGCGUGUAGGCGGUCCGGUAAGUCCGCUGUGAAAGUCGGGGGCUCAACCCUCGGAUGCCGGUGGAUACUGUCGGGCUUGAGUACGGAAGAGGCGAGUGGAAUUCCUGGUGUAGCGGUGAAAUGCGCAGAUAUCAGGAGGAACACCAAUUGCGAAGGCAGCUCGCUGGGACGUUACUGACGCUGAGACGCGAAAGCGUGGGAGCAACAGGAUAGAACC